CAGCCUGAAAUGAUGAUUUUAAACUUCAUGUCUCUUCUCUGACAUUUUUCUCUGGAGAUGAUUUUUGCCUUACUCAUCUGAUCAGGCUG
rnacentral:snoRNA from 1 species